rnacentral:rRNA from 1 species
UGGGGAAUAUUGCACAAUGGGCGAAAGCCUGAUGCAGCAACGCCGCGUGAGUGAUGAAGGUCUUCGGAUUGUAAAGCUCUGUCUUUUGGGACGAUAAUGACGGUACCAAAGGAGGAAGCCACGGCUAACUACGUGCCAGCAGCCGCGGUAAUACGUAGGUGGCGAGCGUUGUCCGGAUUUACUGGGCGUAAAGGGUGCGUAGGCGGAUGUUUAAGUGAGAUGUGAAAUACCCGGGCUUAACUUGGGUGCUGCAUUUCAAACUGGAUAUCUAGAGUGCAGGAGAGGAGAAUGGAAUUCCUAGUGUAGCGGUGAAAUGCGUAGAGAUUAGGAAGAACACCAGUGGCGAAGGCGAUUCUCUGGACUGUAACCGACGCUGAGGCACGAAAGCGUGGGUAGCAAACAGGAUUAGAUACCCUGGUAGUCCACGCCGUAAACGAUGAGUACUAGGUGUAGGAGGUAUCGACCCCUUCUGUGCCGCAGUAAACACAUUAAGUACUCCGCCUGGGAAGUACGAUCGCAAGAUUAAAACUCUAAAGUGAAUUGAC